CAGAAUGAGCCAACAGACGCAUUGUGAUGUAAGGCCCAGCGGGGCUGAAAUCCCGCAGCAGUUUAUUGACCCGACACAGAUCUGGAUUGACUCAAGAGGUCGAAACUACGGGCUGUGAAAGCACUCCUUCCCAGGCUCACCGGCAGCAGACAUCACGAGAAAGGAAGCAGCAGUUCUUCCAUAUUGAGGGAGCGGACUCCUGGGUGCCAGCUGCCGGCUCGCAGUGCUGAAGUGAUGAUCCCCCAGGCACAUCAGGUGCCGGACCUCGGAGCCCUGCGUGGAAGACAGGGUUAUGAGAGGAACGACACCCCAAUGACAGGGAAGGUCCUGUGGCACUGGGAUUGGGGAUGAGGAGGUUCAGGAAGCGGCAGGCUGUUUCCAGGUAGGGCAGGGGCAGAUCAAUAUCUUUGCUUGGUUCUAGGGUCCUGGGUUGCUGUCUUAGACUAGGUCCCUCCAGAGCCAUGGAGAUCCCGGUCCAGCCUAGGAGAGUGAGAAAAACAAAAAGAGGUACAGGAGCGGGACCUGGAUUUUACUCACGGGUUUGGGGAGAGAAGCCAGAGAACUGAAAGAGAAGAUGAGGCACUUGACUGGUGGUCUUUCGACUCCUUUGUCCCCUUGGACCUCUGGCCACCACAUGUUUUCUCUUCGCUGACAAUGUAUCCCUUCUGGACCUCUCGGGGUGAUCUCAAUCUCCUCUAAAUCUGCUGUUGUGAAUCUUCCUUUAUUCUCUGAUGCCCCAGCAUUUAAACGUAUCAGUUUUUGUAGUUCCCCUGCAUCUCCCAGGAGGCAUUAAGAAAGCAGGAAUUGGCUUUAUACCUCCCACCCCCAACUUUCAUCCUUAAGCUCAGAACUCACUGUCUGACAGCUUCAGGGAUGUGAACCUGAUCCAAGGAGAUGAGUUGGGCCAGCUCUCCCAGGCUGUUCAGAAAACGGAUCUUUCGUGUGAACUUGGAACUGAAAAGAGAGGAUAAACCAAGUGUGUGCUGUCCUGGGAAGAGGGCUCCCGGGAGAGGCUCAUAGAGGGAAAUGUGACAAGUGCAGCACAGUGAAGGCUAGAAAGAGUCAGGGUGGGGGCAAGAGCUUCUUAAUCGCGAUUUUGAAAAUAGGAGCGGGUCCUUGUUCCCCCAGCUCGUACCUGAUGAAGGGUCGCAGCAGCGCCAGGAGAGCCUUCACAUACCAGGCCGCGUGGACAACCACCAGGGCGCGCAGGUGUUUCCGGAGCCUGCAGAAGAGGAGGACAACUGACAGAACUCCAGGUGGAAGACCACCAGUGAGGAGGGGAAGAAGAAAAAAAAAAAAAAAAAGAAGAAGCAAAAAAAAAAA